rnacentral:lncRNA from 1 species
AUUCAUCAGACUGCUCACAUAAGCUUUCAACGACUCAAAGUCCCUCUUCACCCGAGAAAGCUCCUGUUCGUUUUCUUCAGCUCGAUGCGUCUGUCGAGUUAUCUCUUCCACCAGAUCCUCGAUCCUCUGCUUCAUAUCGUCCAGAAUAGCUUUAGUACCCAUUGCAAAAGUUUCCAUUUUUUCUAGUUUGGUCGACAUGUUCUCAAUUUGAACUGCCUUCUUCCUAAU